rnacentral:rRNA from 1 species
GAUGAACGCUGGCGGCGUGCUUAACACAUGCAAGUCGAACGGUGAAGCAGAGCUUGCUCUGUGGAUCAGUGGCGAACGGGUGAGUAACACGUGAGCAACCUGCCCCUGACUCUGGGAUAGGCCCUGAAAAGGGCGCCUAAUCCUGGAUAGAAGCUGCAACGCACGGGUUGGUGGUUGGAAGAAUUUUUCGUUUGGGGAUGGGCCUACGGCCUAUCGGCUUGUUGUGGAGGUAAUGGCUCACCAAGGCGUCGCCGGGUAGCCGGCCUGAGAGGGGGACCGGCCACACUGGGACUGAGACACGGCCCAGACUCCUACGGGAGGCAGCAGUGGGGAAUAUUGCACAAUGGGCGAAAGCCUGAUGCAGCAACGCCGCGUGAGGGAUGACGGCCUUCGGGUUGUAAACCUCUUUUAGCAGGGAAGAAGCGAAAGUGACGGUACCUGCAGAAAAAGCGCCGGCUAACUACGUG